GUGCUCGCUUUGGCAGCAUAUAUACUAAAAUUGGAAUGAUAAGGAGAUUAGCAUGGCCCCUGCACAAGGAAGACAUGCAAAUUCGUGAAGCAUUCCAUAUUUAA